rnacentral:rRNA from 1 species
GACAGAGGAUGCAAGCGUUAUCCGGAAUGAUUGGGCGUAAAGCGUCUGUAGGUGGCUUUUUAAGUCUGCCGUCAAAUCCCAGGGCUUAACCCUGGACAGGCGGUGGAAACUACCAAGCUGGAGUACGGUAGGGGCAGGGGGAAUUUCCGGUGGAGCGGCGAAAUGCGUAGAGAUCGGAAAGAACACCAACGGCGAAAGCACUCUGCUGGGCCGACACUGACACUGAGACACGAAAGCGUGGGUAGCAAACAGG